UUUAGGUGCGAUUUUGGUUA
rnacentral:siRNA from 1 species